rnacentral:rRNA from 1 species
AUUGAACGCUGGCGGCAGGCUUAACACAUGCAAGUCGAACGAGUGGCGGACGGGUGAGUAAUGCUUGGGAAUCUGCCUUAUGGAGGGGGAUAACUACGGGAAACUGUAGCUAAUACCGCGUACCAUAGGAUGAGCCCAUGUGGGAUUAGCUAGUUGGUGGGGUAAAGGCUCACCAGCCGACGAUCUCUAGCUGGUCUGAGAGGAUGACCAGCCAUACGGGGACUGAGACACGGCCCAGACUCCUACGGGAGGCAGCAGUAGGGAAUCUUGGGCAAUGGGCGAAAGUCUGACCGAGCAACGCCGCGUGAGUGAAGAAGGUUUUCGGAUCGUAAAGCUCUUUUGUCAGAAAAACGGUAUCUAACCAAAAAGCCACGGCUAACUACGUGCCAGCAGCCGCGGUAAUAC